rnacentral:lncRNA from 1 species
AUAGCCUUCUAUGAUGAUGAAUGUAUUUUUAGGUGGUGAUUCUAUUCUGAGUUGUACUUAAGACUGCAAACUGGUGUCACUGAUGCCACAGUUGCCUUCAAAAUGUCUUGAAGAUUACCUAUAAUGCAGUGUUCAGAAGGAGGAGAGAUUCAGCACAGGGAUUUCUGGUGGAAGAGGCUCUGCCAGUUGGAAGCUGCAAAACAGUGGCCAACAGCUAAAACAUACAAUGAAGCCAUCAAGUUUUCAUCUUCAUUGUGAGAAAGAUGGAGCAAGACCUCCCUAGUCAUCUCUGUAUUAAUGUCACUGCUGUGAUAUCAAACUCAUCAUAAGGAGAUUAAAU